rnacentral:rRNA from 1 species
AAAAAAGACUCCGUUGGUGACCAGCGGAGGGAUCAUUACCGAGUUUACAACUCCCAAACCCCUGUGAACAUACCAAUUGUUGCCUCGGCGGAUCAGCCCGCUCCCGGUAAAACGGGACGGCCCGCCAGAGGACCCCCAAACUCUGUUUCUAUAUGUAACUUCUGAGUAAAACCAUAAAUAAAUCAAAACUUUCAACAACGGAUCUCUUGGUUCUGGCAUCGAUGAAGAACGCAGCAAAAUGCGAUAAGUAAUGUGAAUUGCAGAAUUCAGUGAAUCAUCGAAUCUUUGAACGCACAUUGCGCCCGCCAGUAUUCUGGCGGGCAUGCCUGUUCGAGCGUCAUUUCAACCCUCAAGCCCAGCUUGGUGUUGGGACUCGCGAGUCAAAUCGCGUUCCCCAAAUUGAUUGGCGGUCACGUCGAGCUUCCAUAGCGUAGUAGUAAAACCCUCGUUACUGGUAAUCGUCGCGGCCACGCCGUUAAACCCCAACUUCUGAAUGUUGACCUCGGAUCAGGUAGGAAUACCCGCUGAACUUAAGCAUACAAAAGGGGGGAGGAGAAAAA